UACGUAGAGCGCAAGCGUUGUCCGGAAUUAUUGGGCGUAAAGAGCUCGUAGGCGGCUUGUCACGUCGGGUGUGAAAGCCCGGGGCUUAACCCCGGGUCUGCAUUCGAUACGGGCAGGCUAGAGUGUGGUAGGGGAGAUCGGAAUUCCUGGUGUAGCGGUGAAAUGCGCAGAUAUCAGGAGGAACACCGGUGGCGAAGGCGGAUCUCUGGGCCAUUACUGACGCUGAGGAGCGAAAGCGUGGGGAGCGAACAGG
rnacentral:rRNA from 1 species